UACAGCGGAAUUCAUUCCGCUCAACCCUAAGGGUGUAGACUUAUUUUAUUUAGCACUUCAAAGAAAAAAAUUGAAGGCCGUCUAGCCUUCCUCGACCGCGGCACGCCCCCUUUUCCUCAGACUUAUUUUUGCUCUGUUACAAGUAACACGCGUAUAUAGAAUGUCUAUAGAUAUCGUCCAUCGUUUUGUGAAUUUUUCGAUGGCCAGUUUUUCGAGCCACGUUGGUUUUUCGAACAACCUAGGCUCGAGUGCGAUUAACACACGAUCGUGAAUUGCGUAGCCGCCUCCAUCAUCACCAAUCAUCUUGAUUUUCAAGUAAGACCCCGCUCACCCGUCGCUCUUUCUCGUUCGAUUCUCGUUACGUUCACCGCUGGUGGACAAGUACAAUCUUGACGUUUCUGUUUUUUGGGACCUGAGGGGUUCGGCUUUGUGCCCCCUUUCGACGACCGUUUCGUGGGAGUCAAUCAGGUCAGCAGUAGCCGGCGCGACGACAAGAGAGGGUAUGCAGAAACGGUUUCUAUUGGUAUAGCCAGCGACGACGGUUGCUGCUAGGAUGAUGAUGGUUACAGCUAUCUAUCGUUUCGACCAAGAUGGUUUCAUUGCGAUAUACAGAGACUGGCUUAUCGUUAUGGCGAUGGGAGAGACGUUCGUUUUAGUCGCGUAGAACUAGAAUUGCGAGACCAACGCAUUAGAUAAUCGUUCCCCCUACCGCAACGAGUACCGGAACAAUUUCCUCUCUUGCAGAAAAGACUUCGUUUGCUAUCGUACCGAUCAGCGAUCAAGUGGCCCACGAGGAGCAAGACCACUCUGAGAGGAAGUAGUAGUAGGCUGUUGCCUACCAGAAGAUCGAGUAGUUGAAGAAAAGGAGCAGUAUGGGCGGAAGCCACAUCUUGUGCAACAGCAGCCACAGCUAGUGAUUCGGCAUUAGUACGGGAGGUAGUGGAUCUAGUUCCGGCCCCUAUGGAAGACCGAGUAGUCACAGCACCAUUUGAGGAGGCGAUGCUCCCCAGUAUCUCAGGUUCGCGACCACCUUCAGCUCCUAAAACCAUCUCCGAUGAGAUUUAAAUUUUUUAGGACGACCGUGCUGAUCCACCGACAUGUCGAAAGCAAUCUCGAAAGAGUUUUCUCUCGAUGAUGCGACACCGACUUUUCUCUGAUAUUCUCCAAGCUUGAGUUGGGGGAUUGGAUUACUUUUUUUCUUGAGAUGGUGGGUUGGAUAAUUGGAUUACCCGCCGGGUUCUCCUAAAAUCGUGCAAGAACUCGCUAAAAUCUAUCAAUGCGGAACAUGAGUCGUUGCUUAUAGCUGUAAUUAAAACUAUGUAUAGGCCUAUCGCGCAGACACUUGCGGACCUUUACACUCAGCUGCGUUCCCUGCCGGACAAGUGCGGUUAAGAGCCAGUGCAGGUCGUUCCCCAGCAAUAGGGACGCGCUUAUGUUUUCAUAACCAGAGAGCGUCGGAAUGCGGUGAUCGCGUUCGCCGAGCCGUCGGCUAACUAUUUGUUGGAUGAAUCAUAACGAGUUCGACACAGGCAAGGAAGCGCGCUCCUUUCUGCUUACCAACAGAUUCUUACAAGCAGUGCUGAACAAACGCCAACCGGGAUGACAUCCUGGCUCAAGCAUCGGGAGUAGCCGUGGCGGCCGCUGCUGCUAAUGCCCCGAGGCGUUCGAAUAUUAGGCGGGUGCGUUUCGAGCCACCUAAUAUUUCGUCUCAAUCGCGACAGCGUUUCAAGCCAGAACCGAUAGUUAGCUUGAACCUUCGCUCCAUCGCUUGGCUACAAGAAAGUCGGAGGUAUGACGGUACGUUUCAUGCAAUCCGGCCUCUUGAUUUCUUGAAAGACAAUUAAAGAUCCGCACCUUGACUUUUAAUCACAGUGGGAGUGCCUCGGGGCUUCUGUUGUCAUUAAUUGCCUAGUAUCUGGCUUAACAAGGCUCCAAGAUUUUUCAUUUUUUACAACAAAUCAGAGCCCUUUUAUUUUGGCGACGACGUUCGUUUUAAUCACCACCACGUUGUCGCACGUUGUACGGACCAGAUCCGGUCGUGUGAGGUGGAGAAGGCAGGCGGAGUAGAAUAGCGGGCCAUCGCAGUGGUUAUCGCUCCAUCGCUAACCUCCAAAAAAGCCUGAAGUACGUUACACGAACCCGAACCCUUGGCUUCUUGAAAAACGAUCCAUGAACGUUAAAUCUUGAUCGUAGCGGAAGUGCCUCGGGGGCUUCUGUUGCCAUUAAAGAUCGCCUAGUAACUGUCGCAUCAAAGCUCCCAGAUUUUCAUUUCAAUUUUUAAACUAUAACGAAUUAGAGCCUUUUUUGCGAUGACGUUUCAAUCACCGCCACGUUGUUCGAGGUGGAGAAGACAGGCGGAGUAGAAUAGCGGGCCAUCGCCGUGGUCAUCGCUCCAUCGCCUGUUUCCUAGAAAGGCGGAAGUACGUUACACAUAUCCGAACCCUCGACGGCUGGAAAGACAAUCAAGUCGUGCACCUUAAAUUAAUCUCAGCGGAAGUGCCUCGGGCUUCCGUCGUCAUUAGAAAAUUGCCUAAUAUCUGUCGCACCAAAGCUCCCAGAUUUUUCGUUCCAAAAAAUCUGAGCCAUUUUCAGUUUUGCGGUGACAAGUAUCCGACUUGUCAGAUAGGCAGAAGAUAUGUUGAUCUUAAACGGGUCCAAAAAGCGAGCUGUGAGCGGUCAUUAAUACAGCUAUUGUUUACCCCUAGGCACUAGGCCGUCGGCCGAGGUGCCGUAAAUGAACUCGCGGGACGAAUUCGAACUCUUGAAGACGGCCAUCAAGUUGCGGACGUUGACUUAGACGUCGUCGUAGGACGAAAUGGGCCCACGUGCAACAGCUGUCGAUCCAGUUGAAGCCGCUGUGACUUUGCGCGUCAAAUCGAAGUAGGUUCCAAUCACAUUCACCUGCAAAAUGUCGCCGUGGGUGGCGCUUUUUAUUUGUUCAAUCCGCUUUUGAAUGUCGCUUUCUUGGGCAAUGAGACGACGAAACCGUGGCUCACCAGUUGGACGACGACGGGUGUAGCAGCCGGUUGCAUUAUUCUGCCGGGCAGAUCGGCUCAACGCCUUUGCGGAUGACUUCUCGUUUGUCAAAGUAGCCCGGCGCAGAAAUGAAAGCCAUAAAGAAGCCCACCGUGUUGGGGCUGCUGGUGGUGGCAUUUUGGCACGACGCGAGGUCGAUCGGGUAGCCAAAAGACGUCACUUCCUUGAACACCAGCCGAAAUCGACUCGCGGUGGCCGGACGUGGCUGGGCAACAUCACGAAUCGUGUCGGAUGCCGGAUGAAAUGCUAUUUUUUGAGUUGCGGGCCCCCGGGGAAAGCGCUGUGGCGCAAGUACCGACGAGAUGAUUGAGAAACAGGCGCGCGGCUGAGUCUCACCACGCUGCUGCUGAUUUCAACUUUCAAACCGACUAUCAACAGUCUCAUCAUCGGUUGCGUUGGAUCCUGUUCUUUUCUGAAUAACUCGGUGGAGAUCAGCUAGACAGCUACGCUAAAAAGGCGGCGGAUCGAUGUCCGCCGCUCUCACAACCGUUUGGGCAAGGCGAGACGGAUUAAAGUUGAAGCGAGAAGCUGAAUCUAGCGAUUCGGAUUAGACACGGCCAUGAUCUCUCGUUUUCUAGAGGUAUGGAGUUAUGCGCUGAUAUGUCACCGCUUCCUGAAACAUAUCAUUCUUCAAAUUAUCCGGAAUCGGCGCUCGGAAUUUAGUCGCCUGGUAGCUCGCAGCCGCUCGCAGCAGGUGAUCGUACGACGGGCAAGUUCUUAUCAGCCAGAUAUCGAACCUCUCCUGGCGGAUGUGUUGACCAGUUGUUGAUCAAUUGGUGUUUGUGGCGGAAUAUCGAUUCCUGAUGUAGCAAUUUAGACUCUGUACCAGUCUAGCCAGCCCAGUUGCACGCCAUGUCCAGUCUAAGCUUUCAGUUUAUGCCCUCGUCGGGCAGGAAUGAGCUUCUAUCGCCCAGCUUAUCCGGAAAAAUUAGUUCGGCCUACCUUGCUGGAUCUCACUACCUUGGUAAAGUUGCCCGAGAGAACCUCCGUCACCUUCUCGUCGGCCAGACGGACAGAGAAUCAAAUUAGCCUCUCUCUCCUUUUUGAGCCUCGCAAGGCACUGUGAAGGUCCGUUGCAAACUUUCACAUUUUCAGCAUGCCGAUCUCAAUACCUUGCAGUAGCCUAGCGACGUUACGAUUUCAUUUAAAUCGCGCGAGUAUCGGUAGACCACCGAUUAAAGAAGGCAAGUUGUCCAUCUCUCUCUUUGUCUCUUUUCGUGCCGUAUUCGGCAAGACAAUCAGUAGGUGGUUUUUAAACCGUUUCGUUAAACGCCGGAAUUGAUGCGAAAAUAUACAGCGCCCACUUGACGGGAAGUGAGGCUUCGUCACGUCACUGGCCGUUGUCAGUGGCCUUGCUUAUCAGUAGCGGCGUUACGAUUUGAUCUAAAUCGCGCGAAUAUCGGUAGACCACCGAUUUAAGAGGGCAGGUCGCCUAUCGCUCUCUUAUUCGUCCUUUUUCGUGCCGUAAUUGGCAACUCAAUCUGAAAAGGGCUGGAAUUUAUACUAAAAGAUGCAGAGCCCACUUGACGCAUAGUGCGGCUUCGUCACUGGCCGUUACCAGGGGCCUUUUUAUCGACAAAUUAUGGCAAGCGUACAUUUGGGCCAUCCAAAUAACGUUCAUAAGAUUCUACAAUCGCAGAACACCAGCAACAUUCGCAACAUCGGCUAUGGCCGACGCUUAAGCUUUAAAGUCACCCUUAGGGUUGAGCGGAAUGAAUUCCGCUGUACAAUUGAAAAUUACCAGAGUGAUCGCUCAGCGAUCACGAUAGUUUGCUUAAUGUUGCAGCCUGCCUUAUCCCAGUGUCCAGCCGGACAGUCAAGCCAAGAAGGGCCGGAGAGGAGCGUUUCGAUUUCGAGCACCUCGUGAAGCGUGAAGGCGUGAAGGCGCACCAAAACUCAGCCCAACUUUGUUCUUUACGUUCAAUUAUGUUACGAAAGGCCAUGUCGGCCUAUUCUGUUUUUCUUGCAAUCGGCUUUUUCUGGCUAAUAGCCAGUUUUUUAUGCCUCGAUAUCUCUUGGUUCAUGUUACAUUCUUGUAAAAUGUUUUCUCAUGAAAUGUAAUUUUUGACACGCGCACCCCCGUUAUUCCCAAAAUAAGUCUGAGGAAAAGGGGGCGUGCCGCGGUCGAGGAAGGCUAGACGGCCUUCAAUUUUUUUCUUUGAAGUGCUAAAUAAAAUAAGUCUACACCCUUA